AUUUUCAACAACUCAUGUCUGUUCAGAGAUGCUAGAAUUCCAAAUAUAGGAAAAAUAAAAAAAAACUUAAAACACUUAUUUGUUCAAGAAAUCAGAGCUUUCCACGAGGGAGACAUAUUCCUAAAUUCACUAUGAUUUUAAAAAAUAAUUAAAACAAGAAUGUGUCCAAAGUACACGGAUGCCCCACUUGCACUAUCCUUUUUCAUGUUCCAUGGACUGUGAAAUUGGGUAAAUAUCUAAUUUGGCAUUAAAAUAAGAAAGAUUAUACUAUAAGGAACAUGUGUACUAAGUUUCAAGUUGAUUGGACUUCAAUUUCAUCAAAAACUACCUUGACCAAAAACUUUAACCUGAAACUCCCACUUUCAUUUUCUAUUUUAAGUGGACCGUGAAAUUGGGGUCAAAAGUCUAAUUUGGCAUUAAAAUUAGAAAGAUCAUAUCAUAAGCAACAAGUGUACUAAGUUUCAAGUUGAUUGGACUUCAGCUUCA
rnacentral:lncRNA from 1 species